rnacentral:pre_miRNA from 1 species
AAUAAGUGCAGUUUUGCACUAUUCACGUUCAACGUUUGUCCGUCCGUCUUAUUUGAAAAAUUUNAAAAUUUCAAAUAAGACGGACGGUCAAACGUUGAACGUGAAUAGUGCAAAACUGCACUUAUU